rnacentral:tRNA from 1 species
AGCUUUGUGGCGCAGUCGGACUAGCGCGUUGGGCUCAUAACCCAAAGGUCGUCGGAUCGAGACCGACCGAAGCUA